ACAUGCAAGUCGAGCGGGGAUAGGUAGCUUGCUACCGAUUCCUAGCGGCGGACGGGUGAGUAAUGCUUAGGAAUCUGCCUAUUAGUGGGGGACAACAUUUCGAAAGGAAUGCUAAUACCGCAUACGUCCUACGGGAGAAAGCAGGGGAUCUUCGGACCUUGCGCUAAUAGAUGAGCCUAAGUCGGAUUAGCUAGUUGGUGGGGUAAAGGCCUACCAAGGCGACGAUCUGUAGCGGGUCUGAGAGGAUGAUCCGCCACACUGGGACUGAGACACGGCCCAGACUCCUACGGGAGGCAGCAGUGGGGAAUAUUGGACAAUGGGCGGAAGCCUGAUCCAGCCAUGCCGCGUGUGUGAAGAAGGCCUUUUGGUGUAAAGCACUUAAGCGAGGAGGAGGUUACCUGGUUAAUACCUGGGAUAAGUGGACGUACUGCAGA
rnacentral:rRNA from 1 species